ensembl:lncRNA
CCGGGGUGUCACUUAUGGUUCACUUAUGGGUCCGUGGCGUCACUUAUGGGUCACUUAUGGGUCUGUGGCGUCACUUAUGGGUCACUUGUGGGUCCAGGGUGUCACUUAUGGAUCACUAUGGGGUCUGGGGCGUCACUUAUGGAUCACUUGUUGAUCCCAUGCCCAUCCCAUGUAGAUCCCAUGUUCCUCCUGUAUCCGUCCCAUAUAGAUCCCAUGUCCAUCCCGUGUUGAUCCCGUGUUCAUCCCAUGUUGAUCCUAUGUUGCUUUGCUGCUCUACCCGUGUCCAUCCCACAUUGAUCCCGUGUCCAUCCCAUGUCAUCCCGUGUUGAUCCCAUGUUUGAGUCACUGCUGUACUCAUUUCCAUCCCAUGUUCAUCCCAUGUUAAUCCCAUGUUAUCCACUGCUGUUCUCAUCUCCAUCCUGUGUUAAUCCCAUGUCAAUCCCAUGUCCAUCCCAUGUUCAUCCCGUGUUGAUCCCAUGUUGACUCACUGCAGUACUCACCUCUAGCCCAUGUUCAUCCCAUGUUGAUUCCGUGUUAAUCCCAUGUAGAUUCCAUGUUAAUCCCAUGUUAGAUUCGCUGUUGUCCUCAUUUCUAUCCCGUGUUAAUCCCAUGUUAAUCCCGUGUCCAUCCCAUGUUAAACCCAUGUUGAUCUCAUGUUGAUUCGCUGCUGUACUCAUCUCUGUCCCGUGUUCGUCCCAUGUUGAUCCCGUGUCCAUCCCAUGUUAAGCCAUGUUCAAUUCCUCUCCAUCCCAUGUUAAUCCCGUGUCCAUCCCGUGUUGUCAGCCUGCUGGUCACGUGACCACCCCGUGUCCCACCCAUGUCAGCUGCCUGCUGCUCACGUGACCAUCCCACGCGCAUCUCGUGUUCGUGGUAUGUUGCUCACAUGUGCCUCGUUGACACGUCAGCACUUCAUCCCAUGUUGAUCCCGUGUUGAUCCCGUGUUCUUCUCAUGUUAAUCCCAUGUUGGUUCACCGUUGUGCCUUCUCCAUCCAUGUUGAUCCCAUGUUAAUCCCAUGAUGAUCCCGUGUUCAUCCCAUGUUAAUCCCAUGUUGAUUCACUGUUGUGCCUGCCUCCUUCCCAUGUCAAUCCCAUGAUGAUCCCGUGUUAAUCCCAUGUUCAUCCCAUGUGGAUUCACCACCGUGCCUGCCUCCAUCCCAUGUUAAUCCCGUGAUGAUCCUGUGUUAAUCCCAUGUUGAUUCACCACCGUGCCUGCCUCCAUCCCAUGUUAAUCCCGUGAUGAUCCCGUGUUCAUCCCAUGUUAAUCCCAUGUUGAUUCACCACUGUGCCUGCCUCCAUCCCAUGAUAAUCCCAUGUCAAUCCCAUGUUGAUUCACCGUUGUGCCUGUCUCCAUCCAUGUUGAUCCCAUGUUAAUCCCAUGAUGAUCCCGUGUUCAUCUCAUGUUAAUCCCAUGUUGAUUCACCACUGUGCCUGUCUCCGUCCCAUGUUAAUGCAUGUUAAUCCCAUGUUGAUUCACCGUUGUGCCUGUCUCCAUCCCAUGUUAAUCCCACAUAGAUCCCAUGUUAAUCCCAUGUUGAUUCACCACCGUGCCUGUUUCCAUUCCAUAUUAAUCCCAUGUCAAUCCCAUGAUGAUCCCGUGUUCAUCCCAUAUUAAUCCUAUGUUGAUUCACCACCAUGCCUGUUUCCAUCCCAUGUUGAUCCCAUGUUCAUCCCAUGUUGAUUCACCACCGUGCCUGCCUCCAUCCCAUGUCAAUCCCAUGUAGAUCCCGUGUUCUUCCCAUGUUCAUCCCAUGUUGAUUUACCACCGUUCCUGCCUCCAUCCCGUGUUAAUCCCAUGUAGAUCCCGUGUUAAUCCCAUGUUAACCCCAUGUUAAUUCCCUGUUGUGCCUGCCUCCAUCCCAUGUUAACACCGUGUUGGCUGCCUGACGGUCACGUGACCCUCCCAUGUUCAUCCCAUGUUCACAGCUCUUGGUCACGCGUGUCACCUCACGGACGUGUCGGUUCCAUGUCAGCACUUAAUCACGUGUUACUCACGUGUCCAUCCCGUGUUCAUCCCAUGUCUAUCCCAUGUUUAUUCCAUCUCAAUCCCAUGUAGAACCCAUGUCGAUCUCAUGUUGGUCCCAUGUAGAUCCCAUGUAGAUCCCAUGACCAUUCUGUGACCAUUCUAUGACCAUUCCAUGUUAAUCACAUGUAGAUCUCAUGUUGACCCCAUGGCAAUCCCAUGCCCAUCCCAUGUCCACUCCAUGUUCAUCCCUUCCCAGUCCCAUGUUGAUCCCAUGUCCAUCCCAUGUUGAUCCCAUAUUGGUCCCACGUUGAUCCCACGUUGAUCCCAUGUUGAUCCCAUGUAAAUCCCACGUUGACCCCAUGUUAAUCCCAUGUCGAUCUCAUGUUAAUCCCAUGUUGACCCUAUGCCAGUCUCAUGUCCAGCCCAUGUUGCUCCCAUGUCAAUCCCAUGUUAAUCCCAUAUUGAUCCCAUGUUAAUCCCAUGUUGAUCUGAUGCCGAUCCCAUGUAAAUCCCAUGUUGCUCCCAUGUCAAUCCCAUGACCAUUCCAUGUUAAUCCCAUGUCAAUCCCAUGUAAAGCCCACGUUGACCCCAUGUUAAUCCCAUGUUCAGCCCAUAUUGAUCCCAUGUUAAUCCCAUGUUGAUCUGAUGCCGAUCCCAUGUAAAUCCCAUGUCAAUCCCAUGACCAUUCCAUGUUAAUCCCAUGUCAAUCCCAUGUAAACCCCACAUUGACCCCAUGUCAAUCCCAUGUUAAUCCCAUGUCGAUCCCAUGUCCACCCCAUGUUGAUCCCAUGUUAAUCCCAUGUAGAUCCCAUGUUGCCCCCACAAGGACCAGCCCCACGGCUUCAUUACCAUCGGGCAUUAAUUAGUAACCCCCUCCCCUAAUUAACCCCCCUUUCCCCCCUAUUAAUUAAUUAACAACGGUUAAACGGGACCAAUUAAUUGGGUCAACCCCUCCCCCUCCCCUCCCUUUUGGGAUCAGUUAAUUACGAAAUGUAAUUAAUAAAGGCACUGCAGGAACAGCGUGACGCAAACGAAGCCGGGGGCGUUAAUGAGGGCACGGUUCGUUAGCGGGAGGGUUAAUUAAGACGGGGUGGGGGAAGGGAGGGAUGGGGGAACAUUGAGGGGGAAUUGGGGAAAAAUUGGGGGAAAAUUGGGAAAUUGAGGGGGAAAUUUGGGGAGAAUUUGGGGAGAAUUUGGGGUAUUUGUGGAAAUUCUGGGAAAAUUUGGGGGUAUUUGGGGAAAUUUGGGGAUAUAUGGAGGAAAAUGGGGGAAAAUUCGGGA